rnacentral:rRNA from 1 species
GGCUCAGGAUGAACGCUGGCGGCGUGCCUAAUACAUGCAAGUCGAGCGAACGGACGAGAAGCUUGCUUCUCUGAUGUUAGCGGCGGACGGGUGAGUAACACGUGGAUAACCUACCUAUAAGACUGGGAUAACUUCGGGAAACCGGAGCUAAUACCGGAUAAUAUUUUGAACCGCAUGGUUCAAAAGUGAAAGACGGUCUUGCUGUCACUUAUAGAUGGAUCCGCGCUGCAUUAGCUAGUUGGUAAGGUAACGGCUUACCAAGGCAACGAUGCAUAGCCGACCUGAGAGGGUGAUCGGCCACACUGGAACUGAGACACGGUCCAGACUCCUACGGGAGGCAGCAGUAGGGAAUCUUCCGCAAUGGGCGAAAGCCUGACGGAGCAACGCCGCGUGAGUGAUGAAGGUCUUCGGAUCGUAAAACUCUGUUAUUAGGGAAGAACAUAUGUGUAAGUAACUGUGCACAUCUUGACGGUACCUAAUCAGAAAGCCACGGCUAACUACG